rnacentral:rRNA from 1 species
GACGAACGCUGGCGGCGUGCUUAACACAUGCAAGUCGAACGCUGAAGCACCAGCUUGCUGGUGUGGAUGAGUGGCGAACGGGUGAGUAAUACGUGAGUAACCUGCCCUUGACUCUGGGAUAAGCCCGGGAAACUGGGUCUAAUACUGGAUGCUACAUGUCACCGCAUGGUGGUGUGUGGAAAGGGUUUACUGGUCUUGGAUGGGCUCACGGCCUAUCAGCUUGUUGGUGAGGUAAUGGCUCACCAAGGCGACGACGGGUAGCCGGCCUGAGAGGGUGACCGGCCACACUGGGACUGAGACACGGCCCAGACUCCUACUGGAGGCAGCAGUGGGGAAUAUUGCACAAUGGGCGAAAGCCUGAUGCAGCGACGCCGCGUGAGGGAUGACGGCCUUCGGGUUGUAAACCUCUUUCAGCAGGGAAGAAGCCACAAGUGACGGUACCUGCAGAAGAAGCGCCGGCUAACUACGUG